UACGUAGGGUGCAAGCGUUAUUCGGAUUCACUGGGCGUAAAGGGUGCGCAGGCGGCCAAGUGUGUUAGGCGUGAAAGCCCGGGGCUUAACCCCGGAAUUGCACCUAAAACUACAUGGCUAGAGCAUUGGAGAGGGUAGCGGAAUUCACGGUGUAGCAGUGAAAUGCGUAGAUAUCGUGAGGAACACCAGAGGCGAAGGCGGCUACCUGGACAAUUGCUGACGCUCAGGCACGAAAGCGUGGGGAGCAAAAGGG
rnacentral:rRNA from 1 species